CCUACGGGAGGCUGCAGUGAGGAAUAUUGGUCAAUGGAGGAAACUCUGACGCAGCAACGCCGCGUGGAUGAUGAAGGUUUUCGGAUUGUAAACUUCUUUUGUUAGAGAAGAUCACGAUGGUAUUAAACGAAUAAGCACCCGCUACCUCCGUGCUAGCAGCCGCGGUAAUAAGUAGGGUGCAAGCGUUACUCGGCAUCACUGGGCGUAAAGAACGCGUAGGCGGGAUAGCAAGUCAGAUGUGAAAUCCUAGCGCUUAACCAUAGAACUGCAUUUGAAACUGUUAUUCUAGAGUAUGGGAGGGGUAGGUGGAAUUCGUGGUGUAGGGGUAGAAUCCGUAGAGAUCAAGAGGAAUACUCAGUGCGAAGGCGACCUGCUAGAACAUAACUGACGCUGAUGCGCGAAAGCGUGGGGAGCAAACAGGAUUAGAUACCCCUGUAGUC
rnacentral:rRNA from 1 species